rnacentral:rRNA from 1 species
CGCGUAGGCGGUUCGUACAGUCAGACGUGAAAUUCCCGGGCUCAACCUGGGGGCUGCGUUUGAUACGUGCGGGCUUGAGUUCGGAAGAGGGUCGUGGAAUUCCCAGUGUAGAGGUGAAAUUCGUAGAUAUUGGGAAGAACACCGGUGGCGAAGGCGGCGACCUGGUCCGAUACUGACGCUGAGGCGCGAAAGCGUGGGGAGCAAACAGGAUUAGAUACCCUGGUAGUCCACGCCGUAAACGAUGUGUGCUGGAUGUUGGGCAGCUCAGCUGUUCAGUGUCGUAGCCAACGCGAUAAGCACACCGCCUGGGGAGUACGGCCGCAAGGUUGAA